GAGAGAUGGCUUGUAUCUCAACACUCGUAAGUCGAAGUACCACUGUAAUUGCUAAUGUUCAACAUUUUGUUAUCAAGUUAUAUCCAGUCAACAUUACUAUGCAUUUGAAGACAUCAUAAGAGGACAACUCAAUAGAGAAUGCAAUACUAUCUUAUAUAAUGAUCUAAUAUCCCAAUGAUAUGCAUCAUCAUGUUUUACCAAUGCACAGUGGGAUAGAUAUGGUCACCCUAUAUAAUAAUGGAGAGGUAAUGAGGAAAUUUUCCAUGAACUGUUAAUAUCAGAGUUAAAUGAUGAUCAGUGCUUACUGAAGUUCUACUCAUCACAGUUAGAAGGUAUAGAUGAUGCUAUCCAUUGUACAACUAUUUCAAUUCCUUCUAGCUUUUUAUAAAUUAUUGCAUUAGAAUAUGUUCAAUAUAACUGGGAAGAGGGAGGAUGAUUAUUGGCAUUGAACUUUUGGCCAAUAACUUGGCUAGAGAAUCUGCAUGCUCAUGUCUAUUGAUGCUUGUAUAACCAAAAAUCCAUUGCAAAUCAAUAGCUUGACUAUAUUAUAAUUUAAAUACCCUACCUCUGAUCUGCUGCUGCAUUAUUCAUUCUUAUUCAUUAUUCCAAUGAAGCUUGUUGCCUAGAGCCUUCAGAAACAACUUGUACUUAGAACAAAUCUUAGUAGAUUGUGAACAAUGGCAAUUUGGCAGGUAUUUUAUCAUUUUGGCAACUACUAGCAAUUUUGGCUGAAAUAUAGAGGCUUUCUUAUUUAAUUAGUACUUAGAAUUGUGCAUAGAUCAGUGUGCAUGCAGUAGAUAACUCAAUAGUAAAUCCUAUUUUGGAGAAAUCAAUAUAGAUACACAUGUUGUUAUCAAUAUAGAUUGAUAUCAACAUGUGUAUUUGCUAGCCUCCCAGCCAAGGCUAAUAUGAAGAAGAGAUGGAUUUCUCAUACAGGUAAAUUAGAGCAAUUAGCAAUGGCUAGACACAUUAAUAUAAUGAAAAGUAGCCUUCUUGACUACUGUCAUGUGGAAGAAAGCAGCUUCCUUUCCAACCAUCAAUGGCAAUGGUAUCAGAUCAACCAAAACCAACAUUAUCUGUAUAGAGACAAUUCUGUAUGCCCACAUAAUCCACAAGGUUACUGAUAUUUAUAUUCUCAACAAAAAUCCUAUAAUCCUAAUUUCACUAUACAUGAUAGAUGAAACUGGAUCCUACCAUACCUUAUAUACAAAGCAUACCCACCUUGGAUUUGUACUCUUAGAUAUGAAAUAGAAGGCCUUAUCACUUGAGCCACAAUCCAGCUUAGUUUACAACUAAAUUAUUGUCAAGAGCAUCUGCUUUCUAAUUUCCUUGAUUUGUGGCAACCAAUUUAGUAUUUGGUCAGUUCUGAUACUUGGGUUCAUUCACACUUCAGAUGGAUCUUUUUGUCGAUCUGAUAUAUUGGUUUGUAAGUAUUUUCAACAUUCCCAGUACAUUCAGUGUUCAGACAGCAUAUUCAAUAUUGCCACUGUUAGGAUGAAAGGGAACUUAUUCUUCAUUCAAGAUCAAAGGACAAUUUUUCUAUUUGAGCAAUCACUGCUAUGUUGCAUGCUAUCUGCUUACGGAUAUAAUUAUAUACCAUUCAGUAUGAUGAAACUCACCUGUCUGCUACCAUACUUUCAAGGUAAUCUCUUUUCGUAUUAUCUCUCUUCACAUCAACUCAGCUAUUCAAAUCACCUCCCUCAAUCAAUUAUUCUCACAGCAUGCAUUCAACACAUUCAAUUCACAGCAGAAUAGGUUUUUAUCAUUCUCAAGCCAUCUCAACAUACACUGUACUAAAAAUAUCCUCUGCAAAUCAGUUUUUUAUCCUCACCUCACUCAUGAUGUUUUGUCACACACAUAUUUUACUUGUUCAUUCUCUUAUAUAUAUUGUUGUAUCAAUUUUCUUUUUUUCUUUUAUAAGCACACAAACAUUAUUUCUUCUUUACUUUUUGUUUUCCUAUUUUGAGACUAUAUUUCCAUAAUAUCUGUUACACACUCAAAUGUACACUCCUUUUGAGAAGGAUUCACACAGAGCGCAUAUAAACUAUACAGAAAAUGUACAUAAGUACAUGAAUUAUUUGGCAAAAUCCUACAUACAUCAAAUAUAUGCAUGUCAGAUUAUACCCUAUACAUUACUAGUAUCAUAAAGACAUAGUAGUAAAAAAUAGUGGCAUGCAACAAUAUAACUAUCUUUUCUCUGGACAGAGCAAUUCUUCUCCUCAAUUCUACUAUGUCCUCAGCAGGAACAAACAUUAAAAAACAAGAUUUCAUCAAUAUUUUUGUUGAUUAAUGAAAAAUAAUUAUUAUUAAUCUGCAU
rnacentral:lncRNA from 1 species